rnacentral:misc_RNA from 1 species
GAAUGAGAUUCGGUCAGAGGGGGUAAAACCUCUCGGGCUGUCAACCUCCACCCUUGUGUAUUAUGCAAUUGUUGCUUUGGUGGGCCGCGACCCUCACGGGGAGCACCGGCUUCGGUUGGAGAGCGCCUGCCAGAGGACCCAACUCUGUAUUUUGUAACAUCUGAGUACUAUAUAAUAGUUA